GAGGACCUCCUACUUUAGCAGGCUACUGCUAGAGAGACUCAAGCUCCACGCCACCCCCAUCGGUGGACGUAGUUGCACCCCGAGGGUCGUCCCCUACACUCGACACAUCUCGGACGGCGCCUGCGGCAGCACCACAGGAGGAGGCGAUUGCGGCACCACCAGCUCAGGUGCCUCCGGCGGGGGCAGUUUUUCCCGUGACGGUUUCUGCAG
rnacentral:lncRNA from 1 species